rnacentral:rRNA from 1 species
UACAGAGGUCUCAAGCGUUGUUCGGAUUCAUUGGGCGUAAAGGGUGUGUAGGUGGCGCGCUAAGUCGGGUGUGAAAUUUCGGGGCUUAACUCCGAAACUGCAUUCGAUACUGGCGUGCUUGAGGACUGGAGAGGAGACUGGAAUUCAUGGUGUAGCAGUGAAAUGCGUAGAGAUCAUGAGGAAGACCAGUGGCGAAGGCGGGUCUCUGGACAGUUCCUGACACUGAGACACGAAGGCCCAGGGGGAGCAAAACGGGG